UGGCGAACGGGUGAGUAAUGUAUCGGAACGUGCCCAGUAGCGGGGGAUAACUGGCCGAAAGGUCAGCUAAUACCGCAUACGCCCUACGGGGGAAAGGGGGGGAUUCUUCGGAACCUCUCACUAUUGGAGCGGCCGAUAUCGGAUUAGCUAGUUGGUGGGGUAAUGGCCUACCAAGGCGACGAUCCGUAGCUGGUUUGAGAGGACGACCAGCCACACUGGGACUGAGACACGGCCCAGACUCCUACGGGAGGCAGCAGUGGGGAAUUUUGGACAAUGGGGGAAACCCUGAUCCAGCCAUCCCGCGUGUGCGAUGAAGGCCUUCGGGUUGUAAAGCACUUUUGUCAGGGAAGAAAAGGUUCUGGCUAAUACCCGGAACUGAUGACGGUACCUGAAGAAUAAGCACCGGCUAACUACGUGCCAGCAGCCGCGGUAAUACGUAGGGUGCAAGCGUUAAUCGGAAUUACUGGGCGUAAAGCGUGCGCAGGCGGUUCGGAAAGAAGGAUGUGAAAUCCCAGGGCUCAACCUUGGAACUGCAUUCUUAACUACCGAACUAGAGUAUGUCAGAGGGGGGUAGAAUUCCGCGUGUAGCAGUGAAAUGCGUAGAUAUGCGGAGGAAUACCGAUGGCGAAGGCAGCCCCCUGGGAUAAUACUGACGCUCAUGCACGAAAGCGUGGGUAGCAAACAGGAUUAGAUACCCUGGUAGUCCACGCCCUAAACGAUGUCAACUAGCUGUUGGGCCCUUCGGGGCUUAGUAGCGUAGCUAACGCGUGAAGUUGACCGCCUGGGGAGUACGGUCGCAAG
rnacentral:rRNA from 1 species